GCUUUCAUUGCGUUCAUUCAUAUUAUUGAAGUUACAUAGAUAUGUUUACCGUGAUAUAUUGGGGGGGGGGAUCAUAUUUUUCCCAGGAUAGGGGGAUCGUGUCCCCCCUGGGAUUUCUGCCUAUGCACGUGAUAUCUCCUCACUCACGUGAGGACUGAUUGAAGGACUGAUUUGUGUUGAUGGCAAUUACUAUAUAAAUUCAAAGAAGGAGGGAUGACUAGAAGCGAUUGAGGCCUAUUGUUGUGAUGUACACGCCUACAACUGCUUUUCGCCGCCCACUUGUCCACCCAGAACGCGACUGUAAUCCUGAUAUAUUGAGGUAAGGUAACCCUGAUAUGGUAAGGUGAGUGAUGGGGUGCUCCUGGAAGUGGGUUAGCUGUGGUUAGCUGUGGUUAGCUGUGGUUAGCUGUGGUUAGCUGUGGUUAGGGGUUAGCUGUGGUUUAGGGUUAGCUGUGGUUUAGGGUUAGCUGUGGUUAGCUGUGGUUUAGGGUUAGCUGUGGUUAGCUGUGGUUUAGGGUUAGCUGUGGUUAGCUGCGGUUCUGGGUUAGCUGUGGUUAGCUGUGGUUUAGGGUUAGCUGUGGUUAGCUGUGGUUUAGGGUUAGCUGUGGUUAGCUGUGGUUUAGGGUUAGCUGUGGUUAGCUGUGGUUUAGGGUUAGCUGUGGUUAGCUGUGGUUUAGGGUUAGCUGUGGUUAGCUGUGGUUUAGGGUUAGCUGUGGUUAGCUGUGGUUUAGGGUUAGCUGUGGUUAGCUGUGGUUUAGGGUUAGCUGUGGUUUAGCUGUGGUUAGCUGUGGUU